rnacentral:rRNA from 1 species
UAGUCCACGCCGUAAACGAUGUCUACUAGCCGUUGGGAGACUUGAUUUCUUGGUGGCGCAGUUAACGCGAUAAGUAGACCGCCUGGGGAGUACGGCCGCAAGGUUAAAACUCAAAUGAAUUGACGGGGGCCCGCACAAGCGGUGGAGCAUGUUCUUUAAUUCGAAGCAACGCGAAGAACCUUACCCACUCUUGACAUCUUCCUUGGGACUUUCAGAGAUGAUUGUCUUCGGUUCGGCCGGGGGAAUGACAGGUGCUGCAUGGCUGUCGUCAGCUCGUGUCGUGAGAUGUUUGGUUAAGUUCCAGCAACGAGCGCAACCCUUAUCGUCUGUUGCCAGCACUUCGGGUGGGCACUCUGACGAGACUGCCGGUGAUAAGCCGGAGGAAGGCGGGGACGACGUCAAGUCAUCAUGGCCCUUACGAGUGGGGCUAGAAACGUGCUACAAUGGCUGUGACAAUGGGCAGCGAACCAGCGAUGGUGAGCGAAUCCCUAAACGCAGUCU